rnacentral:rRNA from 1 species
AUGGCUCAGAUUGAACGCUGGCGGCAGGCCUAACACAUGCAAGUCGAGCGGAUGACGGGAGCUUGCUCCUUGAUUCAGCGGCGGACGGGUGAGUAAUGCCUAGGAAUCUGCCUG